GAUGAACGCUGGCGGCGUGCCUAAUACAUGCAAGUCGAGCGAACAGAUGAGGAGCUUGCUCCUCUGACGUUAGCGGCGGACGGGUGAGUAACACGUGGAUAACCUACCUAUAAGACUGGGAUAACUUCGGGAAACCGGAGCUAAUACCGGAUAAUAUAUUGAACCGCAUGGAUCAAUAGUGAAAGACGGUUUUCCUGUCACUUAUAGAUGGAUUCGCGCCGCAUUAGCUAGUUGGUAAGGUAACGGCUUACCAAGGCAACGAUGCGUAGCCGACCUGAGAGGGUGAUCAGCCACACUGGAACUGAGACACGGUCCAGACUCCUACGGGAGGCAGCAGUAGGGAAUCUUGCGCAAUGGGCGAAAGCCUGACGGAGCAACGCCGCGUGAGUGAUGAAGGUCUUCGGAUCGUAAAACUCUGUUAUUAGGGAAGAACAAAUGUGUAAGUAACUAUGCACGUCUUGACGGUACCUAAUCAGAAAGCCACGGCUAACUACGUG
rnacentral:rRNA from 1 species